rnacentral:rRNA from 1 species
UACUGGAGCUUGCGGCUAAGGCUGCGGUCGGUUGAUUCGACGUUGACUGAGACUCCCGGCUUUAGGGCAAACGAAGUCCUAAUCUAAGGGAUCAUCAGGUGCUGCCCCCGGGGAUAACGAGCCAUAACAGAAAACAGUCACGGGUUCGCUUUCACUAUUCA